rnacentral:rRNA from 1 species
CCUACGGGAGGCAGCAGUAGGGAAUAUUUGACAAUGGGCGAAAGCCUGAAGGAGCAACGCCGCGUGCAGGAUGAAGGCCUUCGGGUUGUAAACUGCUUUUAUAAGCGAGAAAUAUGAUGGUAACUUAUGAAUAAGGAUCGGCUAACUACGUGCCAGCAGCCGCGGGCAUACGUAGGAUCCGAGCAUUAUCCGGAGUGACUGGGUGUAAAGAGUUGCGUAGGUGGCAUAAUAAGUAGCUAGUGAAAUCUGGUGGCUCAACCAUUCAGACUAUUAGCGAAACUGUUAAGCUUGAGACCGUUAGGGGUAACUGGAAUUUCUGGUGUAGGGGUGAAAUCCGUAGAUAUUAGGAAGAACACCAAUGGCGUAGGCAGGUUACUGGGACGGUUCUGACACUAAGGCACGAAAGCGUAGGGAGCAAACAGGAUUAGAUACCCUUGUAGUC